rnacentral:rRNA from 1 species
UUUUGUGACUAGCAUGUUGUCAGCCACAAGCUAAGCAGGUUUGGGUCUGGCCGGUACUUGGAUGUGAGACCAACUAGGAAAGCUGGGUUGCUGCUAAAA